CUUUUACUUUGAAGAAUUGGUUUUGCAAGGAAACUUUUCUUUAGAUUUCCCUUUGUGUAUAAUAUAGGUAUAUAAGUUUGUAUUUGACUGUUCCUCUUGUAUCUUUCGUCCCUCUUUUGUGCACGAGUAAAGGCUGAACAAAUUGUGUGUACUAAUUAUUCAUGAAGGGUAUAAUUAUUGCCCAACUCAGAAAUUAGUAACGUUGUUGCUUUCUGUCAACUAGCAGAUAAAAAAACUGCACGAAAAAACGGCUGAAUAUUUUUAGAUAGGUAAAGGUGUUCUAUUGUCCUUGUCAAUGUAACUAGGUCCGGGAAAAUGUUUGAGUUGCUGUCUAUCAGACAAAUUCAAAACUCGUUAAAAUACCUUGUUUCUACACAUCCGUAUCUUAUACACAUACCAGCUUGAAUCUUUUUCUAUAAACAAUAGAAUGAUACCGUUCCUAAAAAUGUCAUUUACUUUCAUAAAACACGGAAUACAUAUAUGCGCCGUUAUGUUUUGUAUAGGAUUAAAAGACGAGUAUGGCGAUAUUGGGACGGGAGGACAUAAAAGAAAAUUAAAAGGCAGAUUUUUUUCAAUGAAUUCUAUUGAUUUACAUCAAUGAUCCAUCAAACGCUAUUUUAUCUUUUUAACGAUUCCGUUAUCAUUUAACAUUUUAAUUGAUUGUGUUAAAGUUUAAUUCAUUUAUGAUAUAAAAAGGAUAUGACAAUCUAAGUACAGGAUGUUUGACUGAUUUGUUAUAUACUUUCCAGGAACAAGGUCAUGGUGUUUACUUGUUCUGUAUUUGCGAGGGCGCCAUACAUGAAAUACUUUUUUGUUAUUUGAUUUCAAGCAACAUCAGUAAAUGUAAACACUUGCCCCCAUAAUAUAAUUGAAAAUACAUGUAUGUGGCAAGACUGCCAGUAACACUAUUCACCACUAAAAGACAGACAGAAAAGAAUGAAAACAACUACAGGUUACCAUACGUCCUUCACCAAUGAAAAGACCCCCCCCCCC
rnacentral:lncRNA from 1 species